AUGUUAGUGCAUAUUUGUGUGCAAGAGCCAUCCAUGUAGAGUCAUGAAAACAUUCAAAAUACUUGCAAUAACACAAGCAAGAUAGCAUCUACCUUAGCACUAAUAAUAAUUAUCUAAAUCAUGAACACUGAACGCACAUUUCUUCUAUGUCAGUCCACAAAUGUCUAUUGCACCAGGGCAAAAGCAGGAUGACAUUGAUGAUCCAUAUUAUUUUUGGUACUUCAUACUAAAACGUUUAAAGAUUUUGGGAAUAGCUCACAUACAUACAGGGUUAGGUUACAAGAAGAAUAAUCCUAGUUUACAACUUAAAUAUCAUUAGCCCAUUAACUCGCCAUAGUUUUUGUCCUUAUGGUUAGUUAAUGGGCUAAAUAACUUAAGAUAGGUACGUACUUGGUGCAACUGAGUCUUUUUGGAUGAGAUAUCCCAUAAUGCAAAUUUUUUUUUUUUUUGGGAUCAGAUAUCCAACUAUGCCCCUGAUUAUGAGAAAGGGCAUUAACAAAGAAAAAGAAUAAAUGGUAGUUCAUAAGAAUUGAUGAUAAAGACAAGGCCUUCUUCUACCUUAAAAGCAGAACAAACCUAGUUUAUAAACAAAAUAUAGCUUUUCAAAUUAAGAAAUCAGAUGAU
rnacentral:misc_RNA from 1 species